UGAACCAAUGAAAAGAAUCUCUCAUGAACCAAGGAUUAGAGUUAAUUUAAUUAUGUGCAUCUGAGUUUCAAA
rnacentral:snoRNA from 1 species